rnacentral:rRNA from 1 species
CGGAGUGGACGAACCUCUGGUGUUCGGGUUGUCAUGCCAAUGGCAUUGCCCGGUAGCUAAGUUCGGAAUCGAUAACCGCUGAAAGCAUCUAAGCGGGAAGCGAGCCUUGAGAUGAGUUUUCCCUGGCACUAUAAGUGUCCUAAAGGGUUGUCGUAGACUACGACGUUGAUAGGCAGGGUGUGUAAGUGCUGCGAGGCAUUGAGCUAACCUGUACUAAUUGCCCGUGAGGCUUAACCAUACAACACCCAAGGGGUUU